GAGUUUGAUCGUGGCUCAGAUUGAACGCUGGCGGCAUGCCUUACACAUGCAAGUCGAACGGUAACAGGUCUUCGGAUGCUGACGAGUGGCGAACGGGUGAGUAAUACAUCGGAACGUGCCCGAUCGUGGGGGAUAACGAAGCGAAAGCUUUGCUAAUACCGCAUACGAUCUACGGAUGAAAGCAGGGGACCGCAAGGCCUUGCGCGAACGGAGCGGCCGAUGGCAGAUUAGGUAGUUGGUGGGAUAAAAGCUUACCAAGCCGACGAUCUGUAGCUGGUCUGAGAGGACGACCAGCCACACUGGGACUGAGACACGGCCCAGACUCCUACGGGAGGCAGCAGUGGGGAAUUUUGGACAAUGGGCGAAAGCCUGAUCCAGCCAUGCCGCGUGCAGGAUGAAGGCCUUCGGUU
rnacentral:rRNA from 1 species